UCCUUUUCUUUCUUUCUUUCUUUCUUUCUUACCGCAGGGCAGGAAACUAGUGAUCCAAGCAAAGCAGGUGCACCUGGAGGAGGCGUACAAAGCCCGUCCCUGUCGCUAACCCCCAAACAAACUUGAUCUCGAUCCCGACAGGCAAGUCCCCGGAGCCGCAGGGAGAACGUGAGCCCCGGAGACUCCUCGCGUGUCCAGGAGCCCAGCUCCGACCCUGAGGUGGGGGAAGAACCCGGCAGGAGGCGUGUCCCAGCAGCGCCUGCGGGAGGAGAGGCUGCCUGCGCACACCUCAGAGAGUCAGCGCGCGGCGUCCCCCGCGGUUCCAUGGUGUGAUGGUGAGCACUCUGGACUCUGAAUCCAGCGAUCCGAGUUCAAGUCUCGGUGGGACCUUGCCCUUUAGGCCGAGCCACCGCCAGCUUUUACUUUCCUCUCGAUACCCAACGAGGCGCACUUGCUUCCCCCCUCCGAUGUCCCCGCCCCCAUCCCGGGAGGGAAACUCCGGGGACAUCGCGCAGUGCUUCUCCCCCCGCCCCCCUCAGGGGGGUCCUUCGCAGCCGCGCCCUUCGCGCUCCUCAGCCUCCUGCUCAGGAACCAGGGACCCGGAAACCCGCGUCUCAGAGAGCCGUCCGCCGCCCCGCGCCACGGACACUGCGGCCACAGGGAGGGCACCGGGCCACUGCCACCUCUCGUCGGAGUCCCCCUCGGGCCUAGGGUAAAACCCGGCGGCUGCACGGCAAGGGGCAUCCGCCGCGCGUCCGGUCGUUGCACCCACUCACCUGCACGGUAGAAAACGAUGGCGACGUGAAACAGCGUUUCUUACCUCCGCCCUGCGGUGGUGAGAAUGCAGUUUCUAGGGUCCUGGGUUCGAGCCCAAGGGUGGGCGUCUUUCCUUUCCUUUUCCUCGGAUCCUUUCCCGCCCCUCUCAGAAGAAUCCCGAGUGUCUGUUCAGGCCAGUAGGGGUCGCAGUUGUCCUAAACUUGGUACUGGAGCGUGGGGCUUCUGUCCCGUCAGUCAACCCUAAACCGCGGGAAAUAAGAGAUUCUGGCUGGGGAUUCUCUGGGCCUCACCUGCUGCCGCCCUCGGGGCUCUUCCAGGGCCGAAGGCAACACGAGCCAGGGCAGCUCCGAGUCCUGACCCGUAGGGUGCCCCUCGCUCCUGGGGCGACUCUGCUCCACGGAGAAGACGCCUUACGACUGGACCUGAUGGAAACACGCUCGUUCUCUUCUGCUCGGUCGAAAAAUUUGGUCACAAGUUCUGAAGGACCUCAUAGCUAGUGAAAAUGUCCACUGCCACACCUCUCCUAGUUUUGGAACUUCCGCCCGUUUACAAAGGAAUGUAAAAUACAGUUGUUCUCCAAGGGCUCGCUUUGCGGCUCUGAAGAGCAAAGGAGUGAGAGCCCUAAGGCUGGAGGGGAGAAACGGAAAGCGGAGACAGGAGGAGGAAAAGAGAUAGGAAGGAGAAGGGGCGGGAUCCGAGGGCGGGGAGCCAGUCUGUUGACCUGCAGACUCCGCUGCCGCUGCGGGCUCAUUCUGCAGCGCUGCCGCGUUUGGGUUGAAUCUCAUUGAUCCCCCAGGAACUUUGGCUUUACCUGCAAAGUACGAACGUGCGUGUCUGGCGUUGUCCUUGCUCUUUUUAUUAAUUGUGGAAGUCGGAGUAGGAGGUUAAAUAGACCUGCAAGUUAUUGGGAACCAAGUUAGGACCUUACUGAAUUCUCUGGCGUUAACUGGAAAGCAGACUUUCCUUCCCUUCUCUCCCAUUGCAAGAGGACUGCCGGCAGGACAGGCUUGGAGAGAGUCGAGGCACCCAAGAGCAUGAAGAUGGCCAAGGACUAGUUCUUUGCUGGACAUGUGGUGGCUGAGCAGACUGUGCCCUUCCCAGAGCGUGGAUCCUAGGGGUCUGGCCAGGGGACUGAGCAAGGGGACCUGUCAGAGUGAAGCAAUGGGCUUUCUCCAAAGCAUUGCAGACCUUCCUUUCUGACCUCCAUCUUCUGUACUGGACAGAUCCUUUUAAUGGAACUGCAUUGAUGCGUAGAUUUGGGUACCCUUCCCUGGCCAACUAGAGCCUCUGCCCUUACCAAGACCUGAGCCCCAGACAUUGCUUCAAGGAGAAGUUACCCUUUAUUUUCCCACCUGAACUGCUCUGGCUCAAGCCCAGCAUCUGUCUUGUGAUAAAGACAGCCCCUCAUCCCUUCAGGCUAGGAGGGCUGAUGCUCCUUCACUCCCAGCCCCUCCACAGUCCCACAUAUGUGUAUGGUUUCAACCUACAGAAGCAUAUCCAAGGCCUACAUCUCUCAAAUCUCCUUUCCCUUCACCCUGGAUCCAUACUCUACUCCACACAUCCAUUGCAGAGUGAUAGAGUUUUCUUCUUGUCCUUCUUGUUGCCCACCCAGCACUCCAGGAUUCUUCUUCUUUUGUUUUUGGAAUUGUUCCUUUCUUGGAUAAUGUCUUCCGUGUACUAUUCAUGAAGGUACUCUGCCCCCGUUUGCUCAAGGUGAGGACAUGGACCUAAGCUCCAUCAAUGACCUCCAGUGAUUAGAAUAUGAAAAUUCCCUGGAAUAUGAAAAUAGAAGUGGGUAAAGCUGGCCAUAGGGUGCGAUUUCCCGCAAUGAAACUGAAGACUGCGAACAGCUGAAUCCGGCUCUGGAGGUCCCACGUGGCGGAGGUCCCACGUGGCGGAGCUCCCAGCCUCAGCUCCCAACAGGGACAGAGAGAGACCUGCCUAACUUGGGGAAAGGCGGAAAAGUCGCCCAGAGGCGAGGUCUGCAGCGCCCAGAGUCCCCACUCUUACCCCGGAGACUGGAGGCAAAGACAGCAAAGAGCCAGAUCCGCUUUGAGGGAGAAAGAGCCUGCACCGGGAACCACUCACUUUCAUUGAUGGUUUAGGGUUGACCAACCAGACCGACUCCCCAGGCUGAGUUUAGGACAACUCCGACCCCUACUGGCCUGAACAGAUACUCGGGAUUCUUCGGAGAGCUGAGAGAGGAACGGACUGGAGGAAAAGAACAUGAAAGACACUCAACCUUGUGCUCCAACCCAGGACCCAAGAAACUGCAUUCUCACCCCAGCACGACAGAGCUUACCCAUGUGCCUUAGGAGAAGGCUAGAAUUGUGGAGCCCCAGAAACGAUCUCUGCUGUCUCUUCUCCAGGAGGAGAAUAAAUGACAGAGGCCUUCACAAAGGAAUGACCCCCGCUGAGGGCGGACAUCCCCAGCAAUUAGAACAGAGGAGGAAACCUGUAGGGCAGCAGAAGCCCUACAGACCCAAAUUGUGGAAGCAGGACCCACAUCAGGAACCUGAGCUGAGUCCACACUGAAAGCAGAGAACAGAGGGAGCAGAUGGAAGACUGGAUAUCAGCAGGUUUGGGGGAUGAGAAUAACACAAAGAAAGACAAGGCAAUGGUGGAGCACGUGGUUGCAAAAGGACGGAAGAAUAAGGACCAUUCGAGUUCAGAAAAAUCAGGGGAACCUGAGGAAUGAAUACACCAGCAUCCAACUCUGCAAGGAACUGCCUGAGCUGAGCACGGAGGACCAGGAGAGUAACUUAGUCCAUAGUGAACCUGUGCCCCUGCCGAGGAGCCCCACAGGACAGAUUGGGAUUUGUUUGUACUGCUGGAAACACCCAGUUCUCAGAGGAGGAGGAUGCGACCAUGAAGCUCUGCCCCAGUCCCCUAGUUUCAACCUUGGAGCUGCCUUCAUGGUGGAUGUCUUCCAAGAAAGUGUGGGCUUAGAGGGAUCAAGGAUGUUUGGAUAAGGGUUGGAGAUGUCCAUUCUUACUGAAGGGAGUUAUGCCCUUACAAAUCUGACCCUAAUCAUGGCUCUAGGUGCCAAAUAACAAAGCAAACCACUUACUUCCAUUGGUUGUACAGAAACAGGAUGCUCUUAAUGCACAUAAAUGGAAAGUUACUCUGCCUGUAGAGUCAUGCAAUAGAACAGAUAACUUGGGCAGUGGCCCAAGAAGGGUAUGGGUUGAGUUUGUGACAGUGUCUCUUAGGUCUUGGAGAAGAAGGUUUGGGGCUUGAAGUUGCAGGUGGGCUGGCUCAUGGUAACAUUACCCAAUCUUGGGAAAACAUGUCUAGCACAAUUUUGGGUUCAAUGGACACUAAAUGUUUAGUCCAUGAACUGCAGUCAUUCUUUCACAGGUUAUCCACUAUUGGCUUCAAACAAAAGUGACUUUUCUAUUCAUAGAUACCAAGGAUCACCUGGGUGGCUCAGUCAGUGAAGCAUCUGACUCUUGGUUUCAGCUCAGUCAUGAGCUGGUGGUAGUGGGAUCAACACUGAGUUGGGCUCCAUGCUCAGCACAGAAUCUACUUCAGCUUCUUUGUCCCUCUCCAUCCCCCUCUG